AGCCUUCUGUAUCCAUGCUGAGAUUUCGUCAGCGAUCAACCUGCUGACGUUGGCUGAUGAAACUUCCCAAGUGAGUGAAGCG
rnacentral:pre_miRNA from 1 species